CACAUCCCUAGAUUAUUGAUUUUGGCUACUUUCACAUGUUUUUAUGGUAGCCUCACUAUUUUACAAAAGAGAUGUAGCUUAACAUAUAUGUCAAUCUGUACGUGCUUUAGGCAUGUUUCGAAAGUAGCAAACUGAUAUUUACUAUGUUUCAAUAGUACUCCGUGUCAUUCGUACGUUGCUAAAGAAAUGUUCAUGGUCGAGUGUGAAUGUUUUUGUUACUUCACUGGCAUCUUGUGUAGACAUGCAUUGUCUGUGUUGAAGUUGCACGUGAGAUCCCGUCAACAUAUGUCCUUGAUUUCUGGAAAAAAUAUUACAAAAUUGCAUGCUUUGGUACAUUACCCUAAUGAGAUGCUCCUUGCUGACCGAAGUUGUCUCCAAGAUUAUUUGUUCACACAGUGCCGACAGCCGCUCAAUUUUGCCUUCGUGUCUGAGAAUAGGUACCUUGUUGCUCUGAAGUUACUAAGGGCAUGUACAACGUGGUCGCUACAGCCGGGCGCUUGGAUUGAUAUAGCAGUUCAUGUGGAAUUUGAGUCUUUUGAGUUAGGGCAACUACGGAGAUGAUCCUCCUGUGCAUCUCCCAUCAAAUCCUCCUGCCAAGGUAUGAAAAUAUCUCUGAUUCCCAAGUACCGCUGCCGCCAUGCAUGUCCCUCCCUCACAUGCCACAUGGGCAAGGACCAGUCAGCGGCCGCUGCUGCACUAAUUUGUUGCUGGUCAAACAUCUAGUUACGGAGCAAGCAUGGUAUAUGGUGGUAAUAUUUUGGUCAUGAGUUCUUCACUUAUUAACCUAGAGUUGGUUCACAAUUAAUAUUCCGUGUUUACCUCUCGCAUCUGGUCGGUUUAUGGCCAAGGAAAUGAUGAAUUAGUAUUCUAUAGUUGUACACUACAAUCAAUAUAAUGAUGAGGCUCCUAUCCUGUUUCGUAUCCUGUGAGUUAAUUUGUACAAGCACUUCAGAUACUUCUUAUUUAAACUGUACUCUCAUGUUCUUCAAUGCCACAAAAAAUCAUUGAUGUAGUUUAGUUACCAAUAGUUAUGAGUGUGGAUACGUUUUUUUCCAGAUAUUAGUAAUAUAUUGGGCAGUAGAAUUUUAGGUUUCACUUCUAUCAAGCAUACCUGCUGAAAUACUUUACAGUAGGCUUGAUAAGAUAUUUGGCAGCUUGGUGAGAUAUCAGUGUGUCAUUAGGAAAAUCUUCAUUAGACAAUAAGUUUCCUGGAAGGUAAAUGUAUGCUAAUGUUUUUCUUUCGCUUUCCUCAGUUGACGCUGGUGAUUCAGAGAAACAAGGUGAUUAGCCUGGGGCAGCACCCUCAAUGGAAAACCAUUAAUGCAGUCAUGGUUUCCUCAUUCCAUGGUUCGAUCCUUCGAGGUAUAUCUCAUGGAUUUAUGGAACCAUUACAUAUGCAUUAUAUGCUUCCGGCAGUUUUUCAGAACCAAUUCAUUACCCUCUUCGGAAUAUUUUGACUACUGAGUUCAAAAUAAUUGGAAAUUUCUUGGCAGAUCUCGUUUAUUUUUCCCCGAGAUUUUGCAGCCAUUUUCAUGUUUGGUGUGGUUGCCAAACAUCAUUAUUAAUUACCGAGGCUGAGGUUUGGUGCAACUCCGGCCAUGUUUCUUGAGGAUUUUUUUUGUAGACAUAAACAUUUUGCUGAUGACUUCGUUAGAUGGCACAGGGACAGUAAUAAGUACCAAUUCUUCUUACAGUAUUGAUACAUUUUUUUCAGCAUCCUGGAAUGCUUCUCAGUGCAUGACUGUCUUACCAACAAAUUUUAUACUAUAAUAUCUAGAGUAACAUAGGCACAUAAAGGGGGAGGACAUUUUCUGUAAAUGUUCUUCACACUGUAUAAAGUAUAGCAUCUAAAAGCAUAAGAGAUUCUUAAUCUAAGGUACACCGUAGCAAAAAAAAAAAACAUCGGCAGACGGGGCUGAUUAUUAACAGACUAAGGCAUAUCAUGGCGGCUGCUAACUUUGUAUUUCUUUAUUCUGGCUCUUUAAAAGUUCUGCAUGUGUAUGGGUAAGGCGACACUCCAUUGAAAAUACAAUCAUUCUUGUAGGACUAUAUGCUCCAUAUAAGGUUGCUUAGAAUAUAUAUUAUUUGAAGCAUGUCCAAUCCAUUUCAUUUUGGUUAUUAAUGACAGGUUUAUGUUCUUUUAACAAAAUUAUGAGCAGAGUAGAGCAGUUUGGUAGCUCACGAGGCUCAUAACCUUGAGGUCGUGGGUUCGAUUCCCGUCUCCACUCUUGCAUUGUAAUAUGAUUUAACAUCAAUAGCCCUCGAGUUAUUUCAGAAACACAAGAGUGUUUUUAUACCCGUGUGUCUCAUGUUCUUAUCUGAUUUAGCUUUCGUACAGUUUGCUGCAUAAUAGACAUUUUCAUUGGGAGGUAAUAGACAUUUUAAAAUACAGUUUUCUGCAUAAUAGACAUUUUCAUUGGGAGGUAUGGUUAGUGUAAAAUUGGUUGGGAGGCAAAAGGGCAAACUCUAUUCGUUAGAUAAAAUGUCCAUCAAAUUCGUCCGGACUUGGGAGGAAUGUCUACUAUUUCGUACAAGAACAUGAAACUGUAACCAAAGUAAAAUAUUCAAGUUCCCCUUCGUCCCAACCGAUCUCUCUUACUGCACUUUGAACAGAACAGGAAACUGAACCAAUGUGCGCACAAAAAUCAAUCUUAAGCUCCAUAGCAUGUCGUCUCACUUCCUUCAGAUCUGUAGGAGUGGCUGUGCGUAUGCCACAUGUUCCCCUGCAGUACCAAUGUAAUUAGUUGUGUUGUUGUGUCAGAUGGUACAUUUACACAUCAGCUGAUCAAUAUUACUGUUUGUGUUAAUGGUGUUGGAUAUGUCUUUGAAGGGAUGCGGCUGGUGUCAAGGAAAAUGCGAAGGAACAACUUCUUUGGAUCGAAGCGCUGGCACCUCUUCAGCUCGUGCAUCUCCACUAGGUCUUUGAAGGGAUGCGGCUGGUGUCAAGGAAAACGCGAAGGAACAACUUCUUUGGAUCGAAGGGCUGCUACUGGAUCGACUUGGUGGUUGCUUGUGCUGCCCUUUGGCGCCUCUUCAGCUCGUGCAUCUCCACAAGGUUCGUCAGUUCCCUCCACAUUGCACUAAAUCCCUAAUGUUCAAUUUGCCCCUUGUUGAGUAUGUGCAUUUCAUAUGCGUUUUUCAAAUCGUAAAUAUGUGGUCGUCAUGCAAUGUAAUUGAUGUACGCUUGUACAUGAAUCCUUUGAUAUCUCAAAGAAAUAUGAUUGCAGAAGACAUAAUUGGUACAUCAAUGGUUUUUACAUGGAGUUUUGAUGAAACACAUGCCUGGAGCUUGGUGUCUGUUACAUUUGAGACUGUGCAAAUGUCAUUACUUGUUCCUUUUGUUCGAAGUUUCAGUUAAAUCCUCUGAAUUUCUAGCUGAUAUAUGACAUAAACCAAUGCCACCAUCCAGAACAGCGCUCUCGACUUAUGAUUACCAUUA